CACAAUCACGCUGCAGGAAAUACGGUGGCAGCAGGGACUUGGAGGAUGUCAAGCUUCUCUCUCUGCUUCUUGACUCCGCUGCUUUCAUUCUGUCCUACUGCAGAUGACCCCUACUGAUAGGGAACAUGGCUGCUGGCCCCCAAUACAUAGCCUGUGAGUCCCACGACCUCCGAGACAAGAGACAUUCUUCCCCAGUAGGAACAUGCCAGGGCAAGGUGUUGAUUGGCUCUGUGUGGGUCACAUGCCCAUCUCUAGACCAAUCACUGUAGCUGGAGGAAUGGGAUACGAUGAUUAGUUCAGCCUGGGUCACGUGACCACUCCUUGGUUGGGGGACGUCUCUUGGAAGCCAUUACCAGAAGAAAUGGAGCAGAGUUCUUAAUUGUAGGCAACAGAAGAGUUGGAGUCUGAUUAUGUUGUCCAGGCUGAUGUCAAACUCCAGGCCUCAAACAGCCCUCCUGCCCCGGCCUCCCAAAGUGUGACUUUUCCUGACUUAAGCAGCACUAUUAAGUGCUCACACAUGAGGUACAGAAUGAUGCUUGGUGCCACCCAGGCAGACGCAAGCCCCUGAAGCCAUCGCAGCCCUAGUCUGAUGACUAGAGGCCGUGGCUCACUCCACUGCCCCUGCCACCGCCACUAAGGGGCCACCAGCUUCUUUGGGUUUCUGGUUCCAGAGCAGCUGCCUCAUCAUGUGUUCCUGCCGCCCCGCCGUCUUGACCUGGCAUCUUUGAGCGCUUUGAAAUGAUUCUUCUUGGCUGUCAUGCUUGCCUUCCACUCCCUUGGAGACAGGCUCUCGGAAUCUUCUGGUUGACAAGAGCUCAUCUGCUGAACAGACCGGGGCGAUGGGCUGAUGGGAGCGGCUGGGGACGUCUUAUCCGAGCCGAGGGCAGUGUCACAGGGGCUUCUAGAACACGUCUCUGCAUCUUUGCUGUUCAACUUGGCGGAAGUAGUGCUGACGGUGGGCAUGUAGGCGGCAGGGGGUGGGGGAGUUCCUGGCUUGGGGGAAGGUCAGACUGCACAGAAAUGCCAGCUUUAAUGGCCCUGUCCCCAACACAGGGACUGUCCACAUUCUUCAAACCCCUAGGGAGAUGAUUCAAGUAAUGAGAGAGUAUAAGUUAUGGGGAAUUGUUAAAGGAACUAGGAACCACCUAUUGUAUGUUAACUGUACCGAUCAAGCUUAUGAGUCAAUAAAAUAAGGAAGGGGCUUGCAA